UACGGAGGGUGCAAGCGUUAUCCGGAUUCACUGGGUUUAAAGGGUGCGUAGGUGGGCUAGUAAGUCAGUGGUGAAAUCUUUGGGCUUAACCCGAAAAUUGCCAUUGAUACUAUAUAUCUUGAAUGCUGUGGAGGUAAGCGGAAUAUGUCAUGUAGCGGUGAAAUGCUUAGAUAUGACAUAGAACACCAAUUGCGAAGGCAGCUUGCUACACAACUAUUGACUCUGAUGCACGAAAGCGUGGGGAUCAAACAGG
rnacentral:rRNA from 1 species